ACCCUUCUUAAAGCACUUGCUUUGUCUGCUCUGUGGCUGGGUGAGUCGUCAGUGAAGGAAUAGUAAUCCCUUUGCUGUUGGGUGAGAUGGCAGUCGCCAUGUGCUGUUAAAUCUCAAUCCGUGAUGGAACAUUU
rnacentral:snoRNA from 1 species